UUCUGAACGGGGGAUGCUGUGCGCUCUAUGUGAUCAUAAGAAACUCCAUAAGCGUAUAGCUUUUCCCAUUUAGCG
rnacentral:pre_miRNA from 1 species